UUGGAGGGCAAGUCUGGUGCCAGCAGCCGCGGUAAUUCCAGCUCCAAUAGCGUAUAUUAAAGUUGUUGCAGUUAAAAAGCUCGUAGUUGAAUUUCGGGAUCGACGGGUCGGUCGCGCCUCUGGUGUGUACUGGCCCUGUCGGUUUCUCCCUUCUGACGAACUGCGAUGUCAUUAAUUUGGUGUCGUAGGGAAUCAGGACUGUUACUUUGAAAAAAUUAGAGUGUUUAAAGCAGGCAUUCGCUUGAAUACAUUAGCAUGGAAUAAUGAAAUAGGACGUUUGAUCUUAUUUUGUUGGUCUCUAAGAUCGACGUAAUGAUUAAUAGGGAUAGUUGGGGGCAUUAGUAUUCAAUUGUCAGAGGUGAAAUUCUUGGAUUUAUUGAAGACUAACUACUGCGAAAGCAUUUGCCAAGGAUGUUUUCAUUAAUCAAGAACGAAAGUUAGGGGAUCGAAGACGAUCAGAUACCGUCGUAGUCUUAACCAUAAACUAUGCCGACUAGGGAUCGGGAUGUAUGUUAAU
rnacentral:rRNA from 1 species